CUCCUCCGCAGGCUCCCUGCCUCGUGGGGCUUGGCGGCCUCGCGCACGGACGACUCGUCUCCGGCGCCUCCUUCAACUAGAUCAUGCGCGCCAAGAAGGCCGUUGCCGCCUCCUGCAAGGACGAACCAGACGCUGUCGCCCAGAAUUGGAGCCUUUGAAGGAUUUGAAUGAAGCAUAUGUAUGCAUGCUACGGUUCAUCUUAGGUGAGUGCGAAUCUUCAGCAUCUGUCUCAUGUCGCCUCUUGGAAAAUGCUUUUAAUUGUUUUAUUAUCGAUGAUAUCAAUUUGGUAGCAGCCUUUGAGUGGUGGCAAGAUUAUGUGCAUAGUAUACUUUCAGCACUGUAGGAUCGAGUAAAUGGAGCGGCGGUUCACGCAUCACUCCCCGCCAAUACGAUGGAAUUAGUCACAAUGAUGACUUGAACUGCCGAUAUUUGAUCUGGGGACAAUUGCAACUGCCACUAAUGGUUUCUCCAUCGGUAACAAGCUUGGCGAGGGUGGCUUUGGACCAGUAUAUAAGGCCUCUGCUUCUGGUUAUUACAAGCUAGGUAGUAUUGUGGCAGUGAUCGGAAACUUCUACACGACUCAUCACCAUCAUGUCCAUGCCCCAGACUUGGGUGAGUGCUCAAGGAAGAAUUUUGUAGUUCCACUGUUGGAUUCCAAGCAGGCAAUUCAUGAUCAGCCUUGCGCAAGCUAUGGAGUUUCAAGAAAUCGAUUGACAGGUGGAGUGACUGCUGGGGUCAUAAACGAAGAAACAAUGAAGUCACUGGACAGCAAAGCAGAUUAUUUAUUCCCAAUGUCGUUGCUCUUGCAAAAUUGCAGGCCUAUUGGUUAUGUGGUAAGCAACCACUGGACCCUUUCUACA